GCCAAAUAGAUAAAUAAAUGUAAACCAGAUUUUUUCAUAGAAAAUAGUUAAAAUAUUUUCUGUUGAACUGUGUAUUCUAAUAAACUGAAACUGCAGCAAAUUGUGGCAAAACAGAAAUUAAGCCGGAUAGAUGCAUGAAUGUUGGGUCUUGCAUGAAAUACAGUCCCAGAAAUUGUUUAACAAGCAUGUAUAUGAAGCAGGAGGGAAAACAAAUGUUGGUAUCUGUGGAUCCAAAGAAUAGCUGCAAAUAAAGAUGUUCUUACCUUAAAG